rnacentral:rRNA from 1 species
GCUUGUCUCAAAGAUUAAGCCAUGCAUGUCUAAGUAUAAGCAUUAUACAGUGAAACUGCGAAUGGCUCAUUAUAUCAGUUAUAGUUUAUUUGAUAGUCCCUACUAUUUGGAUAACCGUAGUAAUUCUAGAGCUAAUACAUGCGUCAAGCCUCGACUCACGGAGAGGUGUAUUUAUUAGAUACAACCAGCCCUUCGGGUUUUCGGUGAAUCAUAAUAACUGUUCGAAUCGCACGGGCAACCGGCGAUAGUUCAUUCAAAUUUCUGCCCUAUCAGCUUUCGACGGUAGUGUAGUGGACUACCGUGGCGUUAACGGGUAACGGAGAAUUAGGGUUCGAUUCCGGAGAGGGAGCCUGAGAAACGGCUACCACAUCCAAGGAAGGCAGCAGG